rnacentral:tRNA from 1 species
GCGGGCGUAGCUCAAUCGGUAGAGCAGCGGUCUCCAAAGCCGUGCGCUGGUGGUUCAAGUCCAUCCGUCCGUG